rnacentral:tRNA from 1 species
GGAGGGGUGCCCGAGUGGACGAAGGGGGCGGCCUUGAAAGCCGCUGAGGGAGCCAAGUCUCCCUCCGGGGGUUCGAAUCCCUCCCCCUCCG